GAUGAACGCUAGCGGCAGGCUUAAUACAUGCAAGUCGUGGGGCAGCAUGACUGUAGCAAUACAGUUGAUGGCGACCGGCAAACGGGUGCGGAACACGUACGCAACCUUCCCAAAACUGGUGAAUAGCCCUCCGAAAGGAGGAUUAAUACACCGUAACUUAAUGAAGAGGCAUCUCUUUAUUAAUAUAGCUCCGGCGGUUUUGGAUGGGCGUGCGGCUGAUUAGGUAGUUGGCGGGGUAACGGCCCACCAAGCCUGCGAUCAGUAACUGGUGUGAGAGAACGACCAGUCACACAGGCACUGAGACACGGGCCCGACUCCUACGGGAGGCAGCAGUAAGGAAUAUUGGUCAAGGGACGCAAGUCUGAACCAGCCAUGCCGCGUGGAGGAUGAAGGCCCUCUGGGUUGUAAACUUCUUUUAUCUGGGAAGAAAAAAGGGAAUUCUUUCCCGUCUGACGGUACCAGAUGAAUAAGCACCGGCUAACUCCGUGCCAGCCGCCGCAGUAAUAC
rnacentral:rRNA from 1 species